GCCAGUGUGGCAUAGUGAUUUGAGUGCUGGACUGUGAUUCUGGAGACCAGGGUCGAAUCCCUGCUUGGUCA